rnacentral:miRNA from 1 species
GCCGGGUUUGCGGCCGCUUUU